CCUACGGGAGGCAGCAGUAGGGAAUCUUCCGCAAUGGACGAAAGUCUGACGGAGCAACGCCGCGUGAGUGAUGAAGGCUUUCGGGUCGUAAAACUCUGUUGUUAGGGAAGAACAAGUACAAGAGUAACUGCUUGUACCUUGACGGUACCUAACCAGAAAGCCACGGCUAACUACGUGCCAGCAGCCGCGGUAAUACGUAGGUGGCAAGCGUCAUCCGGAAUUAUUGGGCGUAAAGCGCGCGCAGGCGGUUUCUUAAGUCUGAUGUGAAAGCCCACGGCUCAACCGUGGAGGGUCAUUGGAAACUGGGGAACUUGAGUGCAGAAGAGAAAAGCGGAAUUCCACGUGUAGCGGUGAAAUGCGUAGAGAUGUGGAGGAACACCAGUGGCGAAGGCGGCUUUUUGGUCUGUAACUGACGCUGAGGCGCGAAAGCGUGGGGAGCAAACAGGAUUAGAUACCCUGGUAGUCACGCCGUAAACGAUGAGUGCUAAGUGUUAGAGGGUUUCCGCCCUUUAGUGCUGCAGCUAACGCAUUAAGCACUCCGCCUGGGGAGUACGGUCGCAAGACUGAAACUCAAAUGAAUUGACGGGG
rnacentral:rRNA from 1 species